UACACAUAUCUUUUGAUCCAGUAAUUCCACUGCUGAAAAUCUAUCCCAAAGAAAGAAUCUGAAACGUGGAAAAAGCUUUGUGUCUGGAGAAGUAAACCAAGCUGCCAUACUUGAAAGAGAAAUUGGAAAUAACCUAGAUGUCCAACAAAAGUGGAUGACGAUUGGCUGUGAAAGUGACACGGGCUCUGGGAAGAGAAGUAAGGAGGACUGCUGGGAAGGAAACCAGGUUCUCGGAUGAGCAGGGGCUGUGAUAUGAAAGUGAUCAAGAGAUGGGACCAUCUAGUUGCAAGAGAACAAGCUCAGGGCUCCCACUGAUUCUACAUGAUGUAUUUGUCUUCACUUUCAAAGAGCGUAAAGUGAAAGAAAGGAGGAAGUCCACACCCUUGGGUUUGGGGGCAUCGGAUCCAGUGUGCAAUGUGAGAAGUAAAAUGAAGAGGAGAAAUGAUCUGGAGAGACUUUCUGAUGAAGCAAACACCAGGAUUUCAGGAAGAUAAAAUAGCCAUGGCAUUUUGAAAACCAGCUCAGAAGAUAUAAGCAUAUGAAAUGGUGAGUGUUUGGUGAACCGCACGGUAGAGUGGUUAAGCAUCUUCUGAGUCAGUCGAAACUUUGGCUUAAGGCCCAACUGCAUCAUUUACUAGCUGUGUGACCUUCAGCAAGUGACUUACCUUAUCUGAGCUCCAAUAUCCUUAUCUCUAUACUGGGGGUAAAGUUACCAACCUCCUAAAAUAUUGUGAAGAUUUCUGGAAAUGGUGUUCAUAAUGUAUUAGUGCAGUUCUUGGCAAAUGCUUCAAACUCAAUAAAUGGAAGCUGCCAACGUCAGUGUCAUCAUCAUCAUCGUUACCAUCAUCACCACCACUGAUGUCAUUAUCAGGAGGAAGAAAAGAAGAAGGAAACAUUUUCCAGGCUUUUAAAACUUGUUUCAUCCACUUCUGACCUCAGAAUAAUUACAAUAAUCUAUUAUUGUGUUAUAAUAUCUAAAAGAACCUAUCUCUACCAUUGUGGGAGGAACCAUAUUAGUUCAGCAGAGUAACUGGGUUCAUGCUGCCUUCUCUACCUUCUCAGGCUUCUCUGUGAGGCUUGGUAGAACAAUUUACUCUUCUUCCUGCAUUCUUACUGUGUGGAGUCUGUGUGCCUUCAGUUAGCCCUUGCCUCAUUACCCUUUCCUCUGUCAACAGCUGUGACUGAUACCAGGAUGGAUUUGAAGUGAGGCAGCUCUACGGGCCACUAGCAGUGUGACCUUGAGCAAAUCAGUUCAUUUCACUGGGGCUUUGUCUCUUCAUCUGGACACUAGGGUCGUAUCACCCACCUCACAAGGUUACAUGAGAUGGUUUUCCCAGCAUGUGAUAGGUUCUCAUAAACAUCAUAGUUACUAGAAUUAGUGGACGUAUCUGGUUUUCCCACUGUAUUGUAAACGUGUUAAGGACUGUAUUAGUCUGCGCUCAUGCUGCUAAUAAAGUCAUACCUGAGACUGGG